GUCCUUAUGGGAUUAGAUUAUAAGGUCUGGCCUGCCCACUGAUUUGAAUUGAAUGGCCGCGGUAUACUAACCGUGCGAAGGUAGCAUAGUAAUUAGUCUCUUAAUUAGAGGCUUGAAUGAACGGUCGGACGUAAGGGAAACUGUCUUGCGGUUAACUAAGAUGAAUUUAACUUUUGUGUGAGAAGGCAUUAAUGUUUUAAGGGGACGAUAAGACCCUAUAAAACUUUAUAAUUAAUUUGAGUUUCAUGAUUUAAGGUGUAAAGAGAGUUUUAAAGUAUUUAUUGUGCUGGGGCGGCAAGAAUAAAAUGGGGUAACUGUUCCUAAAAGAGAGAUAAUUUUAAUUAUGACUUUGACCCUGAAUUUUGGGUUAUAAGAUUAAGUUACUUUAGGGAUAACAGCGUUAUUUCCUUUGAGAGUUCAUAUCGACAAGGAUAUUUGCGACCUCGAUGUUGAAUUAAAAUUUCCCCCGGGGGUAGAUGUUCGGGUGGUAGGUCUGUUCGACCUUUAAAAUUUU
rnacentral:rRNA from 1 species